GAUGAACGCUGGCGGCGUGCCUAAUACAUGCAAGUCGAGCGAACGGACGAGAAGCUUGCUUUUCUGAUGUUAGCGGCGGACGGGUGAGUAACACGUGGAUCACCUACCUAUAAGACUGGGAUAACUUCGGGAAACCGGAGCUAAUACCGGAUAAUAUUUUGAACCGCAUGGUUCAAAAGUGAAAGACGGUCUUGCUGUCACUUAUAGAUGCAUCCGCGCUGCAUUAGCUAGUUGGUAAGGUAACGGCUUACCACGGCAACGAUGCAUAACCGACCUGAGAGGGUGAUCGGCCACACGGGAACUGAGACACGGUCCAUAGUACUACGGGAGGCAGCAGUAGGGAAUCUUCCGCAAUGGGCGAAAGCCUGACGGAGCAACGCCGCGUGAGUGAUGAAGGUCUUCGGAUCGUAAAACUCUGUUAUUAGGGAAGAACAUAUGUGUAAGUAACUGUGCACAUCUUGACGGUACCUAAUCAGAAAGCCACGGCUAACUACGUG
rnacentral:rRNA from 1 species